GCAUCAGUACCAAGGUAGAUGCCACGGUGUUUGCAAAACUCCCAUUGGCUCUGGGACCAAAGGGGACCACGUCACCGGUGAAGAACCAGACAAGAGCAAAGGCAUUUAACAUGCUGCAGCAGAAGACUAAGGUGGAGGAAGAUGCCAUCGAGGACAGAGGCGUCCCUCACAAGACAAGAGCGAUAGGGUUCCAAACUUCAGAAGACUUCAACUUUUUGUCCCAGUUCAGGAUGGAAGAAGUGACCUGAAACAUUGAAAACAUU